rnacentral:rRNA from 1 species
CCAGACUCCUACGGGAGGCAGCAGUGGGGAAUAUUGGACAAUGGGGGCAACCCUGAUCCAGCAAUUCUGUGUGCACGAAGAAGGCUUUCGGGCUGUAAAGUGCUUUCAGCAGGGAAGAAGCAAGUGACGGUACCUGCAGAAGAAGCGACGGCUAAAUACGUGCCAGCAGCCGCGGUAAUACGUAUGUCGCAAGCGUUAUCCGGAAUUAUUGGGCAUAAAGGGCAUCUAGGCGGCCAGGCAAGUCUGGGGUGAAAACCUGCGGCUCAACCGCAGGCCUGCCCUGGAAACUGCGUGGCUAGAGUGCUGGAGAGGUGGACGGAACUGCACGAGUAGAGGUGAAAUUCGUAGAUAUGUGCAGGAAUGCCGAUGAUGAAGAUAGUUCACUGGACGGCAACUGACGCUGAAGUGCGAAAGCCGGGGGAGCGAACAGGAUUAGAUACCCUGGUAGUCCCGGCCGUAAACGAUGAUUACUGGGUGUGGGCAUGAAGAGUGUCCGUGCCGAAGCUAAUGCGAUAAGUAAUCCGCCUGGGGAGUACGGCCGCAAGGCUGAAACUCAAAGGAAUUGACGGGGGCCCGCACAAG